rnacentral:rRNA from 1 species
UACGUAGGCAGCGAGCGUUGUUCGGAGUUACUGGGCGUAAAGAGCGCGCAGGCGGUCGUGCAAGUCGCGUGUGAAAGCCCCCGGCUCAACUGGGGAGGGUCACGCGAUACUGCUCGACUCGAAGGCAGGAGAGGGAAGUGGAAUUCCCGGUGUAGUGGUGAAAUGCGUAGAUAUCGGGAGGAACACCAGUGGCGAAGGCGGUUGCCUGGGGCUUUGCUGACGCUGAUGCGCGAAAGCGUGGGGAGCGAUCCGG